GCUAACCCCGCCCACUUGUCAUGUCACAUGAUCUAGCCUAGCUUUACUUUGCGGUUCAGUAUUUGCAAACAAACAUGAGCCCGUUUGGUCAAAUACAUAGCACCAUUUUGUUAUUUUCCUACAGGUUCUUUAGCGAUUAGUCUCACGUGGCUAAGGUGCAAUGUCGUCGUGGGGACAAGGCGACAGACGGCCUCAACCCAAACGGAGGCUUCUCUCAAGGUUUUACAAUCCAGCUGACAACCGUAGUGCCCUCUACCAGCGGUUCUACAAGCAACUUCACAAGGCACCUGCUGGCUAUGUGGUCCUGUCUGUGAGCAACCAGAGCAUGAGUGAGGAUGAGGAUUUCAGCAAUUGUGUCCAUCGCAACAUGCCCAAGGACCAUGCCAUGGACUUUGUGAUGGCGGAGAAUGGCCGUGGGCUUGGGAAGCGGAUGCAGCAGAAGGACCCUGCAGAAACGGGGGCGCGGGCGGUCGAGCUUGUGGAUGACUACCUAGAAAGGGAGAAGGUGGAGAAGAAUGCUGUGCCCUCUGACACCCGCCAGCUGCUCUUCUUCCUGGCCGAUGGAGUCCACCUGUACCCUGAGGAGCUGAGCACCAUUGCAGAGUAGCUCCACAACCGCCAGGACCAUCUGCAAGGUGCAGCCACACAACCAUAGUGUACAUAUGCACAGUACAGUCAUUUUAUUUAGGACAGCGAAUGAUACACUACAUGACCCAAAGUAUGUGGAAACUUGCUCAUCGAACAUCUCAUUCCAAAUUCAUUGGCGUUAAUAUGGAGUUGGUGCCUCCUUUGCUGCUAUAGCAUCCUUCACUCUUCUAGUAAGGCUUUCCAAUAGCUGUUGGAACAUUGCUGCGGCGACUUGAGUCCAUUCAGCCACGAGCAUUAGUGAGGUCAGGCGAUUAGGCCUGGCUCGCAGUUGGCGUUCCAAUUCAUCCCAAGGUGUUCGAUGGGGUAGAGGUCAGUUUCUGUGCAGGCCAGUCAAGUUCUAACAAACCGAUCUCUAAAAACCAUAGCUGUAUGGACCUCGCUUUGUGCAUGGGGGCAUUGUCAUGAUGAAACAGGAAAGGGCCUUGCCAAACUGUUGCUACAAAGUUGGAAGCACAGAAUCAUCUAGAAUGUCAUUGUAUACUGUAGCAUGAAGAUUUCCUUUCAGUGGAACUAAGGAGUCUCACCCCAAAACAGCCCCGGACCAUUAUUCCUCCUCCACCAAACUUUACAGUUGGCACUAUGCAUUCGGACAGGUAGUGUUCUCCUGGAAUCCUCCAAACUCAGAUUUGUCUGUCGGACUGCCAGAUGGUGACGCGUGAUUCAUCACUCCAGAGAACACGUUUCACUUGCGCCAUAGUCCAAUGCCGGAGAGCUUUACACCACUCCAGCCAACACUUGGCAUUGUGCAUGGUGAUCUUAAGCUUGUGUGUGGCUGCUCGGCCAUGGAAACACAUUUCAUAACGCUCCAGGUGAACAUGUUCCUGUGCUUGUCGUGCUUCCAGAGGCAAUUUGGAACUGGUGCAAGUGAGUGUUGCAACCGAGGACAGACUGUUUUUACGCGCUACGCGCUUCAGCACUCAGAGAUCCCGUUCUGUGAGCUUGUGUGGUCUACCACUUCGCGGCUGAGCCAUUGUUGCUCCUAGACAUUUCCAAGACAUUUCCACUUCCCAAUAACAGCACUUACAGUUGACCGGGGCAGCUCUAGCAGGGCAGAAAUUUGACGAACUGACUUGUUGGAAAGGUGGCAUCCUAUGACGGUGCCACUUUGAAAGUCACUGAGCUCUUUAGCAAGGCCAUUCUACUGCCAAUGUUUGUCUAUGGAGAUUGCAUGGCUGUGUGCUCAACUUUAUACACCUGUCAGCAUCGAGUGUGGCUGAAAUAGCUGAAUCCACUAAUUUGAAGGGGUGUCCACAUUACUUUUUGUAAAUAUAGUGUAUAUCCUUAUUUGCUAAUUCCUGAGAGGACGAAGCCGUUGCCUCCUGGUUUAGGGAAACCCCCACCGCUGCUACCCACCCCCUCAGGCCCUCGUGGCAGAGAGACGCCUCCUGGGAUGAGAGAGCACUCUGCUACCCCCCUCAUGACUUCUCCAGACCAAGCCCCCUCCACUGCUGUCCAUGCACCAGGGUCAAGGGCUUCAUAGUCCCCCAACCCUCGUGCCCCCCUUUCUACACACGGCCUCCACGGUCCGUCACAUCGAGGACCCCCACACUACCACGGCCCCCGAGGAGCCCCACCCUCACUGAAGAGCCUUCAUAUGGGACCCCAGCCUGGGCUGUUCACCUGUCCAGGUGGUCUCCCUAACACACCCAGGCGCUGAGAGAACAUCAUCUCUAGAACACCAUGGACAGACGGCAGAAAGCAUCAUACUGUCCUGAGGAGUGGGAUCUCCUUCAGCUCAGUGCCAUCUGCUGCCCCCUCAGGAACCCACACUAGCACUCCUCAUCCAGAGCAAUGUGUUGAUAGAGGAUCCAUAGUUCAGAAAGCUGAAAUGAAAUAUUGUGAGUUGCCUUUGACUAUUUGGGAGUUCACAGCUCAAUUUUUAUGCGUGUGAGUUGACCCACUACUAUGUUCAGGAGCAAGUCAGAACAAAUGAUCAGAUUUGAAGUUUCAUUCCCAGAUUCUUUGUUUUAUAUUUGUCUGUUUUUGUCUUUUGUUUAACUGGAAAUUGUCUGUAAAAUGCUAUGCCGGUAAUACAUAACACAAUAAAGGCUAAACAAGCCAAAAUAUCUAUA